AACGAACGCUGGCGGCAGGCCUAACACAUGCAAGUCGAGCGCACCCUUCGGGGCGAGCGGCGGACGGGUUAGUAACGCGUGGGAAUGUACCCUUUUCUACGGAAUAGCCAUUGGAAACGAUGAGUAAUACCGUAUACGCCCUUUGGGGGAAAGAUUUAUCGGAGAAGGAUCAGCCCGCGUUAGAUUAGAUAGUUGGUGGGGUAAUGGCCUACCAAGUCUACGAUCUAUAGCUGGUUUUAGAGGAUGAUCAGCAACACUGGGACUGAGACACGGCCCAGACUCCUACGGGAGGCAGCAGUGGGGAAUCUUAGACAAUGGGCGCAAGCCUGAUCUAGCCAUGCCGCGUGAGUGAAGAAGGCCUUAGGGUCGUAAAGCUCUUUCGCCAGGGAUGAUAAUGACAGUACCUGGUAAAGAAACCCCGGCUAACUCCGUGCCAGCAGCCGCGGUAAUACGGAGGGGGUUAGCGUUGUUCGGAAUUACUGGGCGUAAAGCGCACGUAGGCGGAUUAGAAAGUAUGGGGUGAAAUCCCAGGGCUCAACCCUGGAACUGCCUCAUAAACUCCUAAUCUAGAGUUCGAGAGAGGUGAGUGGAAUUCCGAGUGUAGAGGUGAAAUUCGUA
rnacentral:rRNA from 1 species